GAAAUGCUGCCUGUCUGGAACGUGACAUUCAACAGUAUGGCUCUAUUAAAGGGAAUCUUUCCAGAGCACUUCCCACUUCCACCACUCAAGUAGCUGAACAAUCUCCAGGUAGAUAUUGUUCUGUCAUCGUGUCCUGAAAUGACUCAGAUAUGCAAAACAGAUGAUGGAGAUGACAGAGAGGAAAGAUACUGCUAGAGAGUUGCACAAAUGCCUGAAGGCAUAUUAAUCUCAAAUUAAUCUGAAGAACAUUAAAAUUAAUCUCAACAUCUAAUGAAGCUUUCGGUCUUUGGGAUGGAACAUUGCAGCAGGGUCACCAUACUUCAAGAAGUACAUAGAAAUGGAGAAGGUGCAGAAGAGGGCAACCAAAAUGAAAAGGGGGCUAGAGAACCUUCCUUAUGAGUGAGGACUCAAAACAGUCCCUGCCAACUCUUGAAAAUCCAAAAGAAGUGGCAAGGUGACACACCUAGCUGUCUGCAGGAAGGAAACCUGCCAGAGUUAUCCUGGCUCUCUGGGCAUCCUGCAUGAGAGGAAAAGGCAGUAAACAGGACUCUGGAGAGCCAGCAAGAGGCUGCUUGGAAGAAGUUACAAGCUGCGGUUUCAUGUAGAUGUUAAACAACAUGGGAGACAGUACAGAGCCCUGAGGGACACCAUACUGAAGUUCAGAUUUUGAAGAUCAACAGUCCACGAGAGACACCAUCUGGAAUCUGCUCAAGAGGAAGCAUCCUUCUCCUCCUCCCUGAAAAUUCAAAAGUCGAAAGCCUUGCGUAUCGCUUGGCAUCUGUACAACAAAGACUUGCAAAGUGCUAAUGGUGUGUGUUGUGCUGCAUAAAUCUUUGCCUGCAAAUGCUAUACAAAGCAGAACUGAAAAGUGUAAAAACAGCAAAAAUAUGAAAACUGUAAAGAUAUUUAAUGUGCAAAAAGAACCAACUAAUGUGUGUGCGAGCUCAGCCAGUUGCCUGAGGGUAAAUGUCUUGAUGGGGUGGUGAUUCAGCUGUCAAGGUGCCUGAGUGGACUUGUGGUCAUCAUAAUGAUUGGCUAUGGACUGGAUUUUUCUCUUUCCAAGAAGGCUAUAAACAGAAAAGGUCAAAUUUAUUCAAAUGAAUCAACUGCACAUUUUGGGGGAAAUGCAGGCAGGCUUGUUAACCCGAUUCACAUCUUUUGUGUCAGGUCCCUAACAUACCAUACAUCUGGAAAAAUGCAGUGAUUUGUAAAAGACAUAAUGUGCUGUUUCUCCAAAGGUCUUGUUUACAGUCUGUAAUAAAGUCUGAUGCACUUUUUAA